rnacentral:rRNA from 1 species
UACGGGGGGGCAAGCGUUGUUCGGAAUUACUGGGCGUAAAGGGAGUGUAGGCGGACUCUUAAGUCGGUGGUGAAAUCCUGGAGCUCAACUCCAGAACUGCCUUCGAUACUGAGAGUCUCGAGUCCGAGAGAGGUGAGUGGAACUGCGAGUGUAGAGGUGAAAUUCGUAGAUAUUCGCAAGAACACCAGUGGCGAAGGCGGCUCACUGGCUCGGUACCGACGCUGAGGUGCGAAAGCGUGGGGAGCAAACAGG